UAGCUAAGGAGAUGCCACAGCUGCUUCCCUGGCCUCAGAGAGUCACUUGGUUCCAGACCUGAUAGGUAAGAACGGUUUCUCAGCCCAGUCUCCCCUCUGAUUUGCUGUGUGGCCUUAAGCUAGUUUCUUGGGGUCUCUGUGCUUCAGUCGAUUCCUUGGUGAAUGAGAAGCUGGGCCUACCUUCACUGACACAGCCUGAGGUUCAACUCUGUCGUCCUCUGUGGGUCAUUCAAGGCCAAGCACAAGAUGGUGGUUAACACAGAGACCCGGAACUGACUACGGUGCAGAGAAUAUGAGACCAUGGGAUGUCCGGACUUUAACAGGACAUCUAUCUCACCCUCCUCCAAAGGCUUGGGGACCAUCACGGGGUAGGAGAUGGAAGACUGGAAAAGCAAAGUCAUGACGAACUGCUGUGUUCCAGGCACAGCAGGACGCUGCACACACGAACUCGCAGCAGCUGUGACAGCCUGCACAAGACCUGCACAAUCCCAGCCGAAGAGGGGAGACGGGCACUAAGCCCCACCUAGCCAAGGAGCUACUGACAACUGAUAGCUUCUGGGAGGGGGAGACAGUUCUCUGAGAGUUUGUCUCCUGGCAGCUCAACCUCCCUCUAGUGGAAGACCAGACACCCAAGAGUAUAUGAGACUUGA